rnacentral:rRNA from 1 species
GAGAAUCCUGUGUUUCGCUUGAAGUCCGCCGUGUGCGGUGCUCGCUCUCAAAGUCACGCUCCUCGGAAUUGGAGCGUAAAUCAGGUGGUAGAUUUCAUCUAAAGCCAAAUACAGACCUGAGACCGAUAGUGAACAAGUACCAUGAGGGAAAGAUGAAAAGGACUUUGGAAAGA